UCCCGGUUAGCUCAGUUGACAGAGCGCUCCUUUGGAAAUGCAGAGGUCCUUGGUUCGAUACCAAGACCAGGCG
rfam:Ixodes scapularis strain Wikel colony gcontig_1108378482926, whole genome shotgun sequence.